AGCAGUAGCCGCGGUAAUACGAAGGGGGCUAGCGUUGCUCGGAAUUACUGGGCGUAAAGGGAGCGUAGGCGGAUCGUUUAGUCAGGGGUGAAAUCCCGGGGCUCAACCUCGGAACUGCCUUUGAUACUGGCGAUCUUGAGUGCAGAAGAGGAGAGUGGAAUUCCACGUGUAGCGGUGAAAUGCGUAGAGAUGUGGAGGAACACCAGUGGCGAAGGCGACUCUCUGGUCUGUAACUGACGCUGAGGAGCGAAAGCGUGGGGAGCGAACAGGAUUAGAUACCCCGGUAGUCCCUGUCUCUUAUAC
rnacentral:rRNA from 1 species